UACGUAGGGACCGAGCGUUGUCCGGAAUCAUUGGGCGUAAAGAGCGUGUAGGCGGCUAUUUAAGUCCUGCGUGAAAUCCUGCGGCUCAACCGCAGACGGUCGUGGGAAACUGGAUGGCUAGAGUGCGGGAGAGGAGAGUGGAAUUCCCGGUGUAGCGGUGAAAUGCGCAGAUAUCGGGAGGAACACCAGUGGCGAAGGCGGCGCUCUGGGCCGGAACUGACGCUGAGGAGCGAAAGCGUGGGUAGCAAACAGG
rnacentral:rRNA from 1 species